GAAAUUUGAGUUCUUCUCAAAGAGUGACAGCUCAAUGAAACCAUGUUGGGAACGAAUCAAACACUACCUUCGGUGGUCGAUAUAAGGACUCAUUCCGAUGCAUUAUAUUCACACCAACUCUUUCGAGUAUUUCCUUCCUUUAUGUAAGUCCUCAUACACUUGUUUUGGUCUGGUUUGCCUCUUAUCAUGGUGCUUAAUAGAACAAACGUCUUCUAUCGUUCCAACUUCUAUUGCGGCGUUAUGGACUUAGCCUUGCUUUCUUUUCAUUUUCCGGUUGAUCAUAUAAUUUAUUAUGCUCAGAUGAAGCAAAGCUUGCAGCUAAUGUUGUUCUUCCCUUAUUGUCUUUGUGACAGAACUUUCCUGGCAGCUUGGAGAACUUGCAGGAGAAAAUUCAUAACUUGUUGUAGGAGCACCUGAAUCUUAACGGUUUGUGGAGCUGGAACGCAGACUCGUAGCACCUUGACAUAUCCGAAAAUCCUGAUCACAUAGCUCGUAGAUUUGUUUAGGUAACCUCUUCGAAAUCAGGUUCUUAAUUCGAAUUCGCUGAUGGUUUUAGAUUCGCGCAUCGUCACGAGAAACUUAAUAACUUUUUGAAGGAAUACCGAAAUCACAAACGGUUUAUGGCGCUGG
rnacentral:lncRNA from 1 species